CACAUUUUUUUCUUUUUUGAUAGUUAGACAUCAUGUACUGGGUACUAUGCAUUUAGGAAUGUGGUAGUAAAGUGCCGAGGUGAGGAAAGUGUUUCAUAGUUCUAUUAUCAGGUCUCAGUCUUUUAACUUUUGUACUCUAAGCUUUACUAGUGCUCCUCAGUUUCUCUCUCUGGUUCCCUUAAGUGGGACAGAAUGACUAAAACUGGCUGGAGUCAGGUAUUUCCCUUUUACCACCUGAGCUAGGCACUGAUAAAACCCCAGUAGGUUAGGGUUUUGUUAAAUAAUUUCUCUUGAGGGCAGACCUUGGUAAAAAGAAUAGAGUGCUGUGAUGUACUUCAAAAGGGUUCUUCUUCUUCCUCUGGCAGAAGCAAGAGGAUAUUUUCUCUGAUAUUUACUGUGAGAACCUAGUUCAGUUCCUGGAGAUAAAACUCACAAAAUUGUGGGGAUCCCCAUAUGACUGACCACCCCCUGCUGCCUCCAGAGUUUUAAAGUCUCAGAUUGGUCCACACUGUGCUGCUAGCAAUUCAUCAAUUUCAGGAAAAGCCACAUCCAAGGGGAUUCCUUUUGUUACUGAGUUGUGCCAGCUAGGGGACAAGGUGACACAGAAUAUGUACAGACAAAAACAAGUAUGCUAAUGAAAUUUCUUCAAAUACUACAAACAAUUAGUGAAGACUGCUACUAUAGGCUGCUGCUGUAUUUUUAAGAGGCUCAACUUCAAAUACUUCAACCUUUUAUGGAAAGAUGGAAACACACAACAAACUAUGUAGAUCUUGAUACAAGUCUCCAUCAAGUUGAUUCAUUUUCAAAAGUAAAUUACAUCCUAAUCUCAAACCUGUGGCAAGACAAGUCAAAUCAUCAAAGAAUGUCCUGUGACAGCCAAGGAGGCGGCCCCGCGGGAACCAGGUCCUGCGAGGAGGGCGGUCGGCCGCUCCCUCCCGACUCCCUCCUGGGCCGGCGGCCCAGGGUGCGGCGCUGCCAGCAGGUUGAUCGGGCGGAGCUUUGGGAGCGGCUCGACUGACCGCCCGAGGGGCUGAGGCUUCAAGGCGAGAUCACCGCCGGCCAAAUAAGAAUAAACAAACUCCAAAGAAAAAAAAAAGCCUUUCCGCCUUCCCUCAUUGGACAGCGAGACAGAGUCUUGGGCUCCUCCGCACGCACCUUCUCCAGCAAUCAUUUUUCCCC
rnacentral:lncRNA from 1 species